rnacentral:rRNA from 1 species
AGCUCAUUCCCGUCGGAACUUGGAAGCUAAGCAGGGUUGAGCCUGGUCAGUAUUUGGAUGGGAGACUGCCUAGGAAGACCAGGUGCUGUAGGCA